GCCUGUGGCGCAGUGGUAGCGCAGAGGACUCAUAAUCCUUUGGUCGCGGGUUCGAAUCCCUCCGGGCCC
rnacentral:tRNA from 1 species